rnacentral:rRNA from 1 species
UACGGAGGGGGCUAGCGUUGUUCGGAAUUACUGGGCGUAAAGCGCGCGUAGGCGGACCUGCAAGUCGGGGGUGAAAGCCUGUGGCUCAACCACAGAAUUGCCUUCGAUACUGUCGAGCUUGAGACCGGAAGAGGUAAGUGGAACUGCGAGUGUAGAGGUGAAAUUCGUAGAUAUUCGCAAGAACACCAGUGGCGAAGGCGGCUUACUGGUCCGGUUCUGACGCUGAGGCGCGAAAGCGUGGGGAGCAAACAGG